GGGCAGCCACGGGAUAUUGAAUGCAAAGAGGUGUUGCAUUUGCCAACCCCGAGGCCGAGAGCUCCUUAAUUGUACAAUUGUCCGCUGCCAUGACUUCUUCUUCAAAUUCUUCUUCAAAUUCAGAUUCGGCCUCUGAACUUGAACUAGGUUCACUAGGUUCCGGAUGCCUCCUCUUUCUUCUUCUCAAAUCUCGUUCAAAAUCGUCGUUAAAAUUCAAGAUAUGUUCACGAACCGGAUGGGUACUCCGAGUCAUAAACUAGUACCUAAACAAAGAAAACAAAACAAAAUCAGAAAACUAGUAAAAGACACACAAAACACACGGUAAACCCAAGGGAUUAGCAAGUUUGCUAAUCCCCGGCAACGGCGCCAAAAUUUGAUGUGAAAAUUAACUUGACACACAAAUUAAACCCUAUUGAUGACAAUUGUAGUAAUGAUACAAGUAGGGAUUGUUCUAGACCGGGGAUUAACUAGGGAUGCUAAUCAACACAAAUAAGACUCAAAAACACUAAACUAGACUCUAUAGACUCAAAACUAACUCAAAACACUCAAAACAGCAAGAAACAAUAAAAAAAAACUCAAUUCUAGACCUAAUAAGUGAUUUGGACGAAAAUAGAACUUAAAAGACUCAAAAGACCAAAAGAAAACAGGUUUUGACUCUAAAAACAAGACUUAAUGAAUGGGGAUUUUGUUUUGGUGAAAUUGAAAGUUAAAACAUAAACUUUGAAAACAAACUUAACAAAAACGAUUUUGGAUGAAAAAGAAUGGUGAAAGG
rnacentral:lncRNA from 1 species